rnacentral:rRNA from 1 species
CAAGGAUUCCCCUAGUAACUGCGAGUGAAGCGGGAARAGCUCAAAUUUGAAAUCUGGCGGCCUCGCCGUCCGAGUUGUAACCUGGAGAAGUGCCUUCCGUGCUGGACCGYGUACAAGUCCCUUGGAACAGGGCGUCAUAGAGGGUGAGAAUCCCGUCUUUGACACGGACUGCCAGUGCUSUGCGAUGCGCUCUCVAAGAGUCGAGUUGUUUGGGAAUGCAGCUCAAAAUGGGUGGUAAAUUCCAUCUAAAGCUAAAUAUUGGCGAGAGACCGAUAGCGAACAAGUACCGUGAGGGAAAGAUGAAAAGCACUUUGGAAAGAGAGUAAAACAGUACGUGAAAUUGUUGAAAGGGAAACGCUUGAAGUCAGUCGCGUCCKGCGGGACUCASCCKYGCUUCUGCGGGGKGCACUUCCUGUCGGACGGGCCAGCGUCGGCUUUGGGGGGCAGACAAAGGCGGGGGGA